ensembl:lncRNA
AGGCUGCUUAACUGGUUAACUCUUAAAUUCAACAUAUUUUUUCAUGCAGUGAUAGGACAGGCAAUGAUGCAGAGAGCACAGGGAGAGGAGAAACACCAGGUCCAAUAGAGAGAGGAGAAGCACAGAGGAGCCAUGAACCCCAGAACACACUCUGUGCAAGGCAGGACCUGACGUGGAGGACAAGGAGGCCCUCUGGGCACUACUGUAAAAAGGAGACUCCGUCCAAUGUGUUUUUUGCCAUCAGCAAUUGGCCUAUAACAAUAACACCUCAUCCAUGCUGAGGCACUUUUGUGCCAAGCAUGAGGCUGGUCAAGCUGCAGCAAGCAUCCAUGAUGGGUACAAUUCCUCUAAUUCAGUAGGUCCCUUCUACAUGUAAUCUUAAUGUUAUAAAUAUAUAAUAUAUGUUUAUACAUUCAUUUUAUUCCAGCAUUUACUCAUUAAAAAGUAUUAUAGUAUAAUAAUAUUAUGUAUCCAUGGCCUGUUGUAUUGUAGGUGAUAGGAAGGCCAAGAUUGACGAGGCACUGGUGAACAUGAUUGUCAAGGAUUCGCAGCCCUUCAAGGUAUGAUAUUUAUUUGCCACAUAGAUUGAGGUAUUUGUGUAAAACACAUAGUAACAUUUCUUUUGCUGUUUAGGUUGUGGAUAAUCAAGGCUUUAGGGCCUUGGUGUCACUUUUGGACCCCACCUAUGUCCUUCCUUCAAGGCAGACCUUGAAAUCUAUGGUGGAGGCCAAGUAUCACGAGGAGAAGCAGAAGGCCAAAGAAAAGGUCCAGAAGUAUAACUAUAUAACUAUAUAUAUCUAUAUAGAUAUAUAUAUAUAUCUAUAUAUAUAUAUAUAUCCUAUUCAGUGAAGCAACAGCAUUUGCCACAUUUAACUCCCUCUCAAACAGCUGAUAUAUUGUCUGGGAUAGAUGAUUUCCUGUUAGUCCUGGAACAUGACAUAGACGUAGGUGAUAAGGGCCCGACUAAACCCAUAUACCCAUAUAGGGUAAAUCCAGAGAAGCGAGCUAUCCUCCAACGGGAGGUUGAGUACAUGUUAAAGAAUAAUAUUGCUGAGUCUAGCUUGAGCCAUUGGAGCUCUCCGUGCCUUUUAGUUGGCAAACCUGACGGCACUCACAGGUUUUGUACGGACUACAGGCGUAUGAAUGCCAUCACUCGCCAGACUGUUAUCCGUUACCGCGGAUGGAUGACUGUGUGGACUGUGUCGGCUCGGCCACGUUUGUCACUAAAAUCGACCUCCUAAAAGGUUACUGGCAAGUUCCCCUUACACCUAGAGCAAAACAAAUAUCUGCUUUUGUAACCCCAGAGGCAUUCAUGCAUUAUAAAGUUAUGGCUUUCAAGAUUGCCGUUCAGCCGUCCACCCUGCAGUGGAAAACGUUCCGCAUUUGUAUUUUGUUUUAGUUUAUUAUUAAACUACCUUUUAAUAUCCAUUCUGUUAAAUAAAAUACCCCUCUAUUAUUUUUGAUACGAGCCGGUUUGUGUGCGUCUCGCCUUUAUGUUAAGGGUGGUGUCCGUCCGCCCGUAACAGCAGACAUUCAGCUUUAGUUUGAGGGUAUUUACAUCCAAAUCAGGUGAACGGUGUAGGAAUUACAACAAAUUCAAAUGUGGCCACCCUCUUUUUAAGGGACCAGAAGUAAUUAGACAAUUGGCUGCUCAGUUGUUCCAAGGUCAGUGUGUGUAAUUCCCUCGUUAUUUAAUUUACAAGGAGUAGAUAAAAGGUCUAGAGCUAAUUUUAGGUGUGGUAGUUGUGUUUGGAAUCUGUUGCGGUCAACUCUCAAUAAGAAGUUCAAAGAGCUGUCACUUUUGCAAUUGUAUUCGCAAUUAUUAAGAUCUGAGCCCACUCAUACCCCGGAGGUUUACAUAGCCAGAGUAUGGGAAGCGUGAAUGAUUAAUUCAAUCAGCACCGCUCUCUAGAUUUCCUUGGAUUAAAAAUAGAAAUUCAUUCCAGGCUCAUUCAAUGUAAAUUUAAAUUAAUUAAAACUAUAUAAUUAUCUGUGUAAUGAGGCGUUUGAUUAAUCUGCUGGAAAAAGAAGCAACAGGGAAAGAGUAGAUGUGGUAUUCUCAGAAUUGUAUUAAUUCCUGUGAAGUGCACAGGAAGGAACCCAAGCAUAUGUUUUGGAUAUAGAGAAAGUAUGAAGAUAUGGCUGUGAACAGAUUUUAAAACUGUCAGCACAGCAAAAUAGUGGGAGCAGAGAUGAUAUAUUAUAUACACAACCUGAAGCGCUCUGUACAGUGAAAGAGGAGUUGGAAGGAGACUAUGCUUGACCUUAGCUGGUGCAAUGGCCUGGGGGAGUCAGUCAUUCCACAUAUUUAUUCCAUUUGGAGGAACAUUGCAGCAGCCAGAUGCAGUAGGAACAAUACAACAGUAUGUCAAUGACAGCUUGCUGUCACUGUCUAACACCAGAGCUUUCUUCCUCCUGCCUUGUUUCUCUCGUGUCUGCUCUAAUCGUUGGAAAGAUGCAUUACUGCCGGGCAAAACAUUUUUUGGCAAAAUAAGUGCAGACUCAUACACAUACAUAGAUACCCACACAUGUAUCCAGAGUAACUAAGAAACUAGCAUUUUUAUUUAAAGAUUUUUAAUAAAUAUAUGUUCAGCACUGAAGCAGCUUAAAACUGUAUUAUGCAAACCCUCUUUUUGAGAAUUUCUUUAAUUAAAUUAUUGAGUAUUGAAUUCUAAAGAAAAUGUAAUACAAAUCCUGUUUUUGUGUAAAUGUGUAUUGAAUGAUGAAAGCAAAUAAGAGUUCAGUUUAAAAACUCGACUAAAGGACCAUUCAUAAUUUAUUCAUCAUUUAUCUUGAACAAGAUAAUGUUAUUAGUUUUCAUUUUCAAGGUUAAGAUCCUUCUUUAUUUGUUUGCAUUGAUCUCAUGAUUCAACCAUAGGUGCUAUCUUUUAUAGAUUUCCACCAAAGUUUUUUUCCAAAGCAAGGGAAUGGAAUGUGUAAGCCAUAGACUCCUUAGGGAACCCACCCUCACAGCAGCUGCUGACACAAACACCUCAUCAGCACCAAUUCCUUUACGAUGGGCCGGUCAGUAAGCAUUACUGUCAUUGCCUCCCAGAUGAGUAAGACGGGGAGGCACCGCUGGGCCUGAGGUGCUCCUUUAAUUUGCUGUGACAAAAAAUACAAAAAUGGUCAAAUCAUUUUGAUUCAUUUCUUGAAUGGUUUUGAGUAAAAUAUUUAUUUUUCAUUCUUCCGUUUCCGAUUAAUAUCAAAUUUUUAAAGUUUCAAAUCUUUUUUUUCAGAUCGUAUAUUUUCACUUUCAGACCCUGAUCUGGUUUAGAUGGCGUGACAUCACCUAAAAGCGGCGUGUAAUCACAAGUUUAAUGGGCUGGACAUCGAUUGAAAGGGCUGUGUAAUCAUGAGUGACAGCUUAACAAAGAAGUCUGAAAACCUUCCACAUCUGUGUUGUCGUUAGGAAACGAAGGCGCUUUGAAUAUAUAUGAAUGAACACUUUCAAUACCCCAUAUUCACUUUCCUAGUAGAACCUGCACCUUUGAUAAAUAUGAACCUUUUCAUAUUUCUAACCUUGGUGAAACACAACCUUUCAAACAGAUGUGCCUGAAGUGAUGCACUUUGAGAAUGUUUAAUCCACACAAUCAAAGCACAUGACCUCAAUGCAAUGGCACUGUGCCACACAGAAAGAAUGAAUAACCAUAUUUAUUUUUCCCCAAAAAAGCUUAAUUUACAAAAAUGACCUAACUCCCUCCCAAUUACAUGACCCUCUUGUCACAUUUCAGGAAGCUUGUCUCGGACACGUGAUAAUUACAAACUUAAGCAUCUUUGGAGAGCUUCUUUGGAAAGGGGAAAAGCCCCCCUGAGGAGACAGCAAAGAACAUACAACUGCAAAAAAAGAUUAAUUUAACUGGCAGUAUCAGGAGUCAUCCUUAAAAUAUGAGUUUAUUGCAUCAGGUAAUUCUCGUGUGCCAGGCCCGCUCUGAGUUAUGUGUAUGUAUGUUUUCAUCCCAAUCGUAUCUUUCUAUUUUGUUUCCCCCUAGGUUUACAAAUUGGGGGCCAGACUGUGGUUGAAGACUGGUACGCCAAAUAUUGUCUAACAUGAAACCGGUCCGCGAGGCAAAAAAGGUUGCUCUAAUGCAUACAGUGGUAUGAAAAAGUUUGGGCACCCCUGAUCAUUUUCAAGAUUUUCCUUUAUGGAUCAGCAAUGGAACAGCAAUUUCAAUUAAAUAUAUCAUAUAGCAGACAAACAGUAAAAUUUAAGAAGUGAAAUGACGUUUAUAGGAUUUACAGAAAGUGUGCAAUAAUUACUAUAACAAAAGUACGCAGGUGCAUAAAUUUGGGCACCCCAACAGAAAAAUUACGUCAAUAUUUAGUAGAUCCUCCUUUUGCAGAAAUAACAGACUCUAAACGCUUCCUAUAGCUUCCAAUGAGGGUGUGGAUUCUCCAGUUCAGUCAGGUUUGAUGGUUUCCGACCAUGGACAGCCCGCUUUAAAACAGACCACAGAUUUUAAAUGAUAUUCAGGUCUGGGGACUGAGAUGGCCAUACCAGAACGUUGUACUUGUUCCUUUGCAUGAAUGCUUUGGUAGAAUUCGAGCGGUGUUUAGGGUCGUUGUCUUGUUGAAGUAUCCAGCCCUGGCGCAACUUCAACUUUUCACUGAUUCUUGAACAUUGUUCGCAAGAAUCUGCUGAUACUGACUGGAAUCCAUGCGACCUUCAACUUUUAACAAGAUUGCCAGUACCUGCACUGGCCACACAGCCCCACAGCAUGAUGGAACCACCACCAAAUUUUACUGUGGGUGGCAAGUGUUUUUCUUGGAAUGCUGUGUUCUUCUUCCGCCAUGCAUACCGCCCAUGUUAUGUCCAAAUAACUCAAUUUUAGUUUCAUCAGUCCACAGCACUGUAUUCCAAAAUGAAGCUGGCUUGUCCAAAUGUGCUUUAGCAUACCUCAAGCGACUCUUUUUGUGGCAUGGGCACAGAAAAGGAUUCUGCCGCAUUACUCUCCCAUACAGCAUCUCCUUGUGCAAAGUGCGCUGAAGAGUUGAACGAUGCACAGUGACACCAUCUGCAGCAAGAUCAUGUUGUAGGUCUUUGGAGCUGGUCUGUGGGUUGAGUUUGACUGUUCUCACCAUUGUAGGAUCCCAGAGGCGUGGACACUAACUUUCACACCAUUGAG